UGUCCCAGAUGGACAAUAGGAAAAAGCCACAUAUGGGAGUAUCUGGGCACACAAUAAUAAUAAUGGCAUUUUCCUCCAUAGAGUGAAGUUCAUCACCAUGUUGAGAAUUUAAUGUGCUUCAAAGAUUCGCAUCUCCAUCGAGUUUGAUGUCGUCCUGUGCUAAAACAAAUAUAGGCAGUCACUCUCCUGUGUUAUUGAACGUUCCUGACCUCCUGGCUCCUAAGAGGCAGCAAGGCAUGUUGGCAUGGCUUCUCUAUUCACUUUAGCACAAAAGGAGUGCACAUUCCAAUGGUCUAAUUGGCAGUGCUCAACUUGUCAGGUAAGAUUUCCUCCCUCAAUGUUAUCCAGGUAAAGUGGGUCUGAGAAUCAAGAA
rnacentral:lncRNA from 1 species